GAAAGAUUUUACAUGUAAGUUGGUCCUACAGAUUUAGCUGCCUGUGGAUUCAUACCCAUGUUUCUGGUCCUUGGUACAUUGCACCAAGUCAGGUACAUAGCAUGCCAAAUUGCUCUGCUGCUGGCCUAUAAGCCCAUCUGAAUACUCAGGCAGUGCUGGGCACACUCAGCAGAGCUUUGAAUUCAGGUCUGGAAACACACAGCCCUCUCUGGCACUCUGUGGGGCAAUGCUUCAGAGCGUAUUCUUUCAGGGAAAUAUAGGAUCUCUGUACAGCAUCAGAAUAUCACAUGGGUUCAUGUGUGGGCCUGACGUCUCCUUUUUUGUCAUCCUACAUUUGCCUCCCAUACUUUUGGCACCAUUAAAAAAAAUAAUAAUGGUCUUUAUAUUUCCACUCUCCAUCAUCACUAUGAAUCCUGCUUGGAUCAGCAGAAUUUGCACAUCUAUUUUAGACCAUCUGCAUUAUCCUUCCGCAGCAGGUGAAAAACACUGGUGGGCUCGGAAUAGCAGCAAUGGCUGCAGAUUAACACAGCACCUCUCACAAAAAGGCUCGCUGGAGGCGUGGGAAACAGCAGAGACUCACUUCUAUUUAAAAAGAAGCAGUUAGCCUCCUUUAUCCAGGACAUCAACCAGAAAAGCACAGUCUACUUCUCCAAGCAAACGUGAACAUUUUCAGAGGAAAUCUGCUUACUCCAUGUUCUUCAUGCUUUGUAUGUCCUACUGCAUAGUUAGUGCCAUGAUUGGUAGAAAAAGACACAGCCUGGGGAGAAAGUCUGUAUGAGCAUCUGUAUCUUUUGUUAAUAAACAACUGUGUGGCAGAAACUGAA
rnacentral:lncRNA from 1 species